UACGUAGGGAGCAAGCGUUGUCCGGAAUCAUUGGGCGUAAAGCGCGCGUAGGUGGCCCGGUAAGUCCGCUCUGAAAGUCACAGGCUCAACCUGUGAAAGCGGGUGGAUACUGCCGGGCUAGAGUCCGGAAGAGGCGAGUGGAAUUCCUGGUGUAGCGGUGGAAUGCGCAGAUAUCAGGAGGAACACCAACGGCGAAGGCAGCUCGCUGGGACGGUACUGACACUGAGGCGCGAAGCGUGGGGAGCAACAGG
rnacentral:rRNA from 1 species